AUUCGAGUAUGUACAUCCACUUUGUGUCGCUAAUAAAAAUCAAUUUGUGAGAAUUGUUGGCUUUAGAACACAAUAACCAGGUGAGCAACCUGCUCACCUUCCUCUCCCUCUCCUUGACUCCAAGGUAGAAGAAGAGCUGAGCUCCUCUGCACACACACACACAGCUCUCUGCGUUGGUUGAGAGUUAGAGACUGGAAUGUGGCAAACUGAACUGCCUUUUCUCAUUGCAUUGCACUCAUAUUUAUACACCAUUUGCUACCUACUCUAAGGUGCUAAUAACUUCUAUCAUUAUCUGAACAUUAGUGGCCUAGAGCCACAAGUCAACAAAGGCUGCAAGUCAACAAAAGCUGCUAGCAAACUGCAAACUUGCCUUGCUAGCAAACUGCAGACUUGCCUUGACUUAAACAGAUAAGGGACAGCUGCAGAUUAAGUCCUACAU